CCUACGAGAGGCUGCAGUGGGGAAUUUUGCGCAAUGGGGGAAACCCUGACGCAGCAACGCCGCGUGCGGGACGAAGGCUCUCGGGUCGUAAACCGCUUUCAGCAGAGAAGACCACGACGGUACCUGCAGAAGAAGCUCCGGCUAACUACGUGCCAGCAGCCGCGGAAAUACGUAGGGGGCGAGCGUUAUCCGGAUUCAUUGGGGGUAGAGAUGGCGUAGGCGGGCGCCUAAGUGGAUGCUAUAACCCCGGGGCUAAACCUCGGGCCGGGUUUGGGACUGGGCGGCUAGAGUGGGGUAGAGGAAAGCGGAAUUCCCGGUGUAGCGGUGGAAUGCGGAGAUAUCGGGAGGAACACCGAUGGCGAAGGCAGCCCUCUGGGCCGUUACUGACGCUGAGGCGCGAAAGCUGGGGGAGCGAACAGGAUUAGAUACCCUAGUAGUC
rnacentral:rRNA from 1 species